GGGGGCGCGAGGCGUCGACAGAAGGAGGCCUACAGAAUAGCAGGUCGAGGUGCCAUCUACCUCGUUAAACAGGUGGCAAAAGACAACUGCCGAAGCAGUUCCGAUUGCAGCCUAAUUAAGGUUGCACGUUCAGCCUGACUUUGCCCUGGCGGGUUGGGACUGAGCGCCGAAAAGUCAGGGUGCACUGACCUCGAUGUCGAUAGAGGCAGUUAAGGCUUAUCGACUGGCCUGGUUAUCAGCGGUCAGCGGAUGAUAGCCAGGCGAGAUUAAGCAGCUGACUAAACCUGUAGUAGAUUCUGGCAACCUUCUUCUGGACGGGGAGUUCAACUCUCCCCCGCCUCCACCA
rnacentral:tmRNA from 1 species